UGUGUCGAAAGAUAAAUGGUUG
rnacentral:siRNA from 1 species